AUUUAUGUAGUUUAAUUAAAACAUUUCAUUUUCAAUGGAAAAAUAAAAAAAUAUUUUUCAUAAAUA
rnacentral:tRNA from 1 species